AAAGAGGCCAGGUGGAACCGAAAGGGCGGAGCUUAAAAAAGGUGGCAGCAAAAUGUGCCAAAUUGACAGAUAUGUUCUCAAGACCAGCUGAGAGGAUGGAGAGUGUGGCAAAUGCUGAAGUGCAAUUCAGGAAGAAAUCAGAUUCCACUGAACACCAGCUGAAUUCUGAGAGUUCACACACUGAACCCAACCUCAGUCUCCAGAUGAUAUUUUUAGUUUAAAAAAACAAACAAAUAAAUAAUAAAAUGA